UAGGGAAUCUUCGGCAAUGGACGAAAGUCUGACCGAGCAACGCCGCGUGAGUGAAGAAGGUUUUCGGAUCGUAAAACUCUGUUGUUAGAGAAGAACAAGGACGUUAGUAACUGAACGUCCCCUGACGGUAUCUAACCAGAAAGCCACGGCUAACUACGUGCCAGCAGCCGCUGUAAUACGUAGGUGGCAAGCGUUGUCCGGAUUUAUUGGGCGUAAAGCGAGCGCAGGCGGUUUCUUAAGUCUGAUGUGAAAGCCCCCGGCUCAACCGGGGAGGGUCAUUGGAAGCUGGGAGACUUGAGUGCAGAAGAGGAGAGUGGAAUUCCAUGUGUAGCGGUGAAAUGCGUAGAUAUAUGGAGGAACACCAGUGGCGGAGGCGGCUCUCUGGUCUGUAGCUGACGCUGAGGCUCGAAAGCGUGGGGAGCAAACAGG
rnacentral:rRNA from 1 species